GAUGAAGAACGUAGUGAAAUGCGAUAAGUAGUGUGAAUUGCAGAAUUCCGUGAAUCAUCGAAUCUUUGAACGCACAUUGCGCCUUCUGGUAUUCCGGAAGGCAUGCCUGUUCGAGAGUCAUUAACAACCGUUUCGAUCCCUUUCUUUCAGAAAUUACAAAGAGGAAAAGGGUUUGGUUAUGGUGGAGGAGGGAAAGGGAGCGUUUAGCCUGUAAAAAAAGAGGCUGUGUUCCGCCGCCCCCCCAAAAUUGUACAGGCGGUCGUGUGCGCCCACGCGUCGAGGUGUUGUAAAAGCUGCCACGGCACUUUUCACCUGUGCAGUGCGAGAUUGGCCAGCCGGUUUAAAAACCCCUCCAAACAAUCAAAGGUUGACCUCGGAUCAGGUAGGGAUACCCGCUGAACUUAAGCAUAUCAAUAAGCGGAGGA
rnacentral:misc_RNA from 1 species